ACUCCUACGGGAGGCAGCAGUGAGGAAUAUUGGACAAUGGGGGCAACCCUGAUCCAGCCAUGCCGCGUGCAGGAAGACUGCCCUAUGGGUUGUAAACUGCUUUUGUACAGGAAGAAACAUUCCCUCGUGAGGGAGCUUGACGGUACUGUAAGAAUAAGGAUCGGCUAACUCCGUGCCAGCAGCCGCGGUAAUACGGAGGGUGCGAGCGUUAAUCGGAAUUACUGGGCGUAAAGCGCAUGCAGGCGGCCUGUUAAGUCAGAUGUGAAAGCCCGGGGCUCAACCUCGGAAUUGCAUUUGAAACUGGCAGACUAGAGUACUGUAGAGGGGGGUGAGAAUUUCAGGUGUAGCGGUGAAAUGCGUAGAGAUCUGAAGGAAUACCGGUGGCGAAGGCGGCCCCCUGGACAGAUACUGACACUCAGAUGCGAAAGCGUGGGGAGCAAACAGGAUUAGAUACCCUGGUAGGAUAGCGU
rnacentral:rRNA from 1 species